UAGGGAAUAUUGGACAAUGGGUGAGAGCCUGAUCCAGCCAUGCCGCGUGCAGGAAGAAGGCGUUAUGCGUUGUAAACUGCUUUUUGCCAGGGGAUAAAAAGACUCUGCGGAGUUUAUUGAAGGUACCUGGUGAAUAAGCCACGGCUAACUACGUGCCAGCAGCCGCGGUAAUACGUAGGUGGCAAGCGUUGUCCGGAUUUAUUGGGUUUAAAGGGUGCGUAGGCGGCCCUGUAAGUCAGUGCUGAAAUAUCCCGGCUUAACCGGGAGGGUGGCAUUGAUACUGCAGGGCUUGAGUACAGAUGAAGUAGGCGGAAUUGACGGUGUAGCGGUGAAAUGCAUAGAUAUCGUCAAGAACACCGAUAGCGAAGGCAGCUUACUAAGCUGUAACUGACGCUGAGGCACGAAAGUGUGGGGAUCAAACAGGAUUAGAUACCCCUGUAGUCCCUGAGCGGGCUGGCAAGGCGCAU
rnacentral:rRNA from 1 species